AUUGAACGCUGGCGGCAUGCCUUACACAUGCAAGUCGAACGGCAGCACGGGAGCAAUCCUGGUGGCGAGUGGCGAACGGGUGAGUAAAGUAUCGGAACGUGCCCAGUCGUGGGGGAUAACGUAGCGAAAGUUACGCUAAUACCGCAUACGAUCUAUGGAUGAAAGCGGGGGAUCGCAAGACCUCGCGCGAUUGGAGCGGCCGAUAUCAGAUUAGGUAGUUGGUGGGGUAAAGGCCCACCAAGCCGACGAUCUGUAGCUGGUCUGAGAGGACGACCAGCCACACUGGGACUGAGACACGGCCCAGACUCCUACGGGAGGCAGCAGUGGGGAAUUUUGGACAAUGGGCGAAAGCCUGAUCCAGCCAUGCCGCGUGCAGGAUGAAGGCCUUCGGGUUGUAAACUGCUUUUGUACGGAACGAAAAGGACUGCCCUAAUACGGUGGUCCCAUGACGGUACCGUAAGAAUAAGCACCGGCUAACUACGUGCCAGCCGCCGCAGUAA
rnacentral:rRNA from 1 species